GGAUGUGAAGGCAAUCUGGUUGCGACAUCCGUCACCCCAUUGAUGGACAGGAUGUAUUCAGCUGAUCUGGAUGGCUAGACAGAGUGUCUCCUUCCUCCUUGAGCACAACAUGUGCAUUCUUCCUGAAGCAUGCUUGGUUGAGGGGAACAACCUUCCCAGAAUAAAGGGGAAGUCCCAAA
rnacentral:snRNA from 1 species